rnacentral:rRNA from 1 species
UCAACUCCAGAACUGCUUUUGAAACUAGAUCGCUAGAAUCAUGGAGAGGUUAGUGGAAUUCCGAGUGUAGAGGUGAAAUUCGUAGAUAUUCGGAAGAACACCAGUGGCGAAGGCGACUAACUGGACAUGUAUUGACGCUGAGGUACGAAAGCGUGGGGAGCAAACAGGAUUAGAUACCCUGGUAGUCCACGCCGUAAACGAUGAUAACUAGCUGUUCGGGGUCUACGAUCCUGAGUGGCGCAGCUAACGCAUUAAGUUAUCCGCCUGGGGAGUACGGUCGCAAGAUUAAAACUCAAAGGAAUUGGCGGGGGCCCGCACAAGCGGUGGAGCAUGUGGUUUAAUUCGAAGCAACGCGCAGAACCUUACCAACCCUUGACAUGGGUAUCGCGGAACCAGAGAUGGCUCUUUCAGUUCGGCUGGAUACCACACAGGUGCUGCAUGGCUGUCGUCAGCUCGCGUCGUGAGAUGUUCGGUUAAGUCCGGCAACGAGCGCAACCCACACUCUUAGUUGCCAUCAUUCAGUUGGGCACUCUAGGAGAACUGCCGGUGAUAAGCCGGAGGAAGGUGUGGAUGACGUCAAGUCCUCAUGGCCCUUACGGGUUGGGCUACACACGUGCUACAAUGGUGGUGACAAUGAGUUAAUCUCAAAAAGCCAUCUCAGUUCGGAUUGUCGCCUGCAACUCGGCGGCAUGAAGUCGGAAUCGCUAGUAAUCGCGUAACAGCAUGACGCGGUGAAUACGUUCCCGGGCCUUGUACACACCGCCCGUCACACCAUGGGAAUUGGAUCUACCCGAAGGUGGUGCGCCAACCUGCAAAGGAGGCAGCCAACCACCGGUAGGUUC